rnacentral:rRNA from 1 species
CCUACGGGAGGCAGCAGUGGGGAAUAUUGCACAAUGGGGGAAACCCUGAUGCAGCGACGCCGCGUGAAGGAAGAAGUAUUUCGGUAUGUAAACUUCUAUCAGCAGGGAAGAAAAUGACGGUACCUGACUAAGAAGCCCCGGCUAACUACGUGCCAGCAGCCGCGGUAAUACGUAGGGGGCAAGCGUUAUCCGGAUUUACUGGGUGUAAAGGGAGCGUAGGCGGUUUAGCAAGUCAGAAGUGAAAGCCCGGGGCUCAACUCCGGGACUGCUUUUGAAACUGUUGAACUAGAGUGCAGGAGAGGUAAGUGGAAUUCCUAGUGUAGCGGUGAAAUGCGUAGAUAUUAGGAGGAACACCAGGGGCGAAGGCGGCUUACUGGACUGUAAAUGACGCUGAGGCUCGAAAGCGUGGGGAGCAAACAGGAUUAGAUACCCGUGUAGUC